ensembl:lncRNA
AUGUUCCUGGGUUCAAUCCCCAGUAGUGCCCCACCCCCCUCUAAAAAAGUAGCUGAAAUAAUGGAGAUAGAAGAUCACAAAAGUGCCAUGAAGACUCAGUCUCAUUAGUGGCCUUUACAGUGCAGCUCAAAUCUGUGAGUCUCUGGUGGACAGAGGGGUUGUAGGAGGUUUAAUGGCUUCUGAGGUGAUGUAGAAGUGGCCCAGCUGGGAAUCAGAGGAUGAGUGUCUUUAUAGACUCCAGUGGGGUGUUUCUCCAUCACAAGAUUGUCMUGUGUCAACAGCAUUUCUAGGUAGUGAGGUGGAUUAGAAAUCUCCAUUUAAUAAUGAGAACAAUGAGCUUCUAAAAGAUCUGCCCCAGGCCACACCAAUGCUAACAGGCCCAGAAAGCUGGGUGCACCCCAGAAUUCCCAGUUGCCACCACACACAGGCCUCCUUUGGCUGCCUGAGCUAGAGGAACGCUGCUGGCAGACAGAGCCAGAGGGGUCUGGGGAUUUCGGACCACGGGGGUGGGCAGGGGGAGAGAGGAACAGCACUUGAGUUUCAAGUUGCUAGUUUUGCAGAGUGUAAAAUUACGGCACCAGUCCCCUAGAAUAAACAGAGUUAACACCCCAUUAAAUACAAUGGACUUUCACCGUUCACGCCAGACGUGCCUAGAUUGAAACGAGCUGAGCCAGAGCUGGUCCGUGAGAAAAAUGUAUCACACCCGCGCUGCCUCGCGCUUCCAAAAAAGAAAAACCCAGCGCAGGGGAGAGAAAGCGCCAGCAGCGGCUCUGCAGGCUGGGGCUGGAGGAUCCGGUAAUGAAGUCUUUCUGGAAGCAGGAUACAAGCUCCCUGGACCUAGAACAGUUCCUGAUACAGAGAGAAGUUCAACACAUAUUGUUGGACGAAUACAUCUAAUUCCAGCUCUCAAAGCCACCACACUAGGCUGUUGCUGUCAACUCCUACCAAACUCACCAGACACCUCCAAGACAGCGCAGUUACAGUGGCGUGGAAUAGAAUAAUCUGGGGCUGAAUCCUUCUCUACCUGUUUCUAAUUGUAUAACUGUGUAAGUUACUUAUCAUCUCUGAAUCUUCAUUCAAAGUGGGUAUAGUAAUCCUACUCUGUAAAG